rnacentral:misc_RNA from 1 species
UACGGGGGAGACAAGUGUUACUCAUCAUGACUGGGUGUAAAGGAUCUUUAGACGGCUCAUAAAAAAUGGCUGCAAAAGACUCUUUUUUAGGAGAGUAGAUGCCAUGCUAUAAUGAGCUAGAGUUUAGCAGGGGAAAACAGUACUUGGAUUUUAGAGGUGAAAUUCAGAAAGAAUUCAGGGACUCUCAUUAAGCGAAAGCAGUUUUCCAGGUUAUAACUGACGUUGAAGGAUGAAAGUAUAGGGAGCAAAUGGG